ensembl:snRNA U6 U6 spliceosomal RNA
GUGCUCAUUUCAGCAGCACAUACUAAAAAAUUGGAAUAAUACAGAGAUUAGCAUGGUCUCUGCCCGAGGAUGACAUGCAAGUUCAUGAAGCAUUCCAUAGUUUU